UACAGAGGUCUCAAGCGUUGUUCGGAUUCAUUGGGCGUAAAGGGCGCGCAGGCGGCCCGGAAAGUCGGAUGUGAAAACUCGGGGCUCAACCCCGAGCGUGCACCCGAUACUGCCGGGCUUGAGGCAGGUAGGGGAGAUCGGAAUUCCUGGUGUAGCGGUGAAAUGCGCAGAUAUCAGGAGGAACACCGGUGGCGAAGGCGGAUCUCUGGGCCUGUCCUGACGCUGAGGCGCGAAAGCUAGGGGAGCGAACAGG
rnacentral:rRNA from 1 species